UCAGCAUUGUGUCCAGCACAAAUCCAAACAUAGCCCUGUAGCAGCUGGUAUGAAGAGAAACAUCUCUACCCCAGCCAAAUCCAGCACACACCUGCACAGGAUGCAGCCACACAGGGACCACUUUUCUGCAGUUCUGGCUGCUUGUGUCCUUAGGGUGGCAGCAACUAUCAAAAAAGAACAGGCAACUGCUUCAAAUGGCUGGCACAAGGUGUCUUGGAUCCUGAAAGUCCUGGGAACAGCUGACCCUUCCACACAUAGUCUUGUGUGAAUCCUCCUAUAAACCCCAGCCUUUCCCCACUCAAGACCUUCUCAGUGACCUACAUUGCACUGAUUUUAGGAUGCAUCUCUUUCUUUGUCUUUGCUGAGGAUGGAAUCGUCAGCUUGAAGGUACACAGUGAUGAAGUUGAGGAGUCCUAUGGCAAUCAAAAAUUGCAUUGGGACGACUGAUUGAAGGGAUGGGAGCAGAGGUGGUGUUUUCCUCAAUCCCUUGGGUAGCAAGAAGGGCAUCUAAAGGAAGGUAUAUAAUCAAAACUCUUGAGUGUGCUGUAAAAGAACACUGUGGGAGAAAGUUACUCAAUAAGAGCAGUCUUUUGGAAUCUUGAAAGCCUGAUUUUCAGAAGCAGAGCUGGAGUCCUGCAUUGCCAUCACUCCUGUGCUGUUGAACGACCUCUUGGAUUUUCUUCACUGUAACAGAAGUCAUAACUUACUUGUAUGUGCCAUACUUACUUGCUACUGAUUGAUAUGGAGCUGUUAAGCAUAAUUUUACAUGGAAGAAAAUAUUGUACAUCAGAUUAAAAUGUGUUAUACAGAAGUUCAGGAUGGUGCAUCCCCAUGGGCAAGCAAGUGACCCAAAGGGACAGGAGGCCUGCCCAGCUGAAUAAUGAACUCCUGACAAAUGAGGUGGAAGCAAGCAUGGAACACUUGGGAUGAAGAUAGGGUUGUUGUCAGAGAAUGCAAAAAUACAAGGAAGGCCAAGGUCCAUUUGAAAUCAAAUCUGGCUAGGAAGUUUUUUAUAACUAUUUCUGUGUCUAAGACCAUUUUAAGUGCCAAAUGGCACCAAAAUAAGAAGACAAAUCUGGUACAGAACCUGUAGCAAGACAUUGAGGUAACUUUAAAGUCAAAUAGGUAAGUAAAACCACCUUAUACAUACGUCAACAUGUGCACAAGUGCACAAAUACUUUUUUCUUGUUCCUUUUUGCUUCCUCUCACCCUGGCUGUAGAAAACUCACCCAAAAUCAAAGAAUGCGUUACCUAAGAUCACAAUCUCCUUCCCAAAGAUAGUAUCAUCUCAUCCUGAAAAUUAGAUACAUAUCAUAUUCCUGGGAUAGAUGGCUUCACAUCAAAUCCUGGCUGUCAACUUGGAAUGAAAGCUCUGGUUGAUGCAGGGUUUGCUCAAAACAGUAAUUUAGUGAUAGCAAAAUCUAUCAGUGAAGGCUUUUUUUUUUUUUUUUUUCACUUCAGUGCUGCUUUCCCCAACAUUAAUUCCAAGAUCCAUAACCUCAUUUGUUCUCAGGAUGUUGAUAAAGCAAGUGAGGGAAUGGGCCUAUCCAUUUAUAAGAUUUCUCAGGGAUAAGAAGGUAUGACUUUAUCUUCCACAGAACAGGCUUCCACAAAUAAGCCAAAUAGCCACUGCUUCACUCUAGCCAACCACGAGCCACUUCAAAGGCUGUCCACCAGGUAAGGUGGAGGAGGUUAUCUAUGCACUCGUGAUGUAAAAUUUAUGCCUGGGAUCACAAACAGCUGAAUCCACUACCUGAGACAUACACACGGUCAUAAAUCACUUCGGAAAAAAAAUAACUUAAUUUCUCUAGAUCCCAUGAUACAGCUCCUUUCUGAGAACCAAGAGAGAAGAUGCAAUUGUUCCCUCACAAUGCAACGUUAAUUUAACGCUAGAAUAAUCUAGCAUAGAAACGAAGAAUUAAGGUAUUCUUAUAUACAGCUAAUCUUAUAUACAGCUGAUUUUUCAGUAUGUGGGGCAGGAGUUUGAUUUGCUUCACUUUAAGCACAAAAA